rnacentral:rRNA from 1 species
GACGAACGCUGGCGGCGUGCUUAACACAUGCAAGUCGAACGGAAAGGCCCUGCUUUUGUGGCUUUCUCGAGUGGCGAACGGGUGUGUAACACGUGAGUAACCUGCCCUUGACUUUGGGAUAACUUCAGGAAACUGGGGCUAAUACCGGAUAUGAGCUCCUGCUGCAUGUUGGUGUUUGGAAAGUUUCGGCGGUUGGGGAUGGACUCGCGGCUUAUCAGCUUUUUGGUGGGGUAGUGGCUUACCAAGGCUUUGACGGGUAGCCGGCCUGAGAGGGUGACCGGCCACAAGGGGACUGAGAUACGGACCAGACGCCUACGGGAGGCAGCAGGGGGGAAUAUGGCAGAAUGGGCGGAAGCCUGAUGCAGCAACGCCGCGUGCGGGAUGACGGCCUUCGGGGUGUAAACAGCUGUGGCAGGUGACGAAGAGUGAGUGACGGUAAUGGGUAAAGAAGCAACGGCUAACUACGUG